GAUGAACGCUGGCGGCGUGCCUAAUACAUGCAAGUCGAGCGAACAGACGAGGAGCUUGCUCCUCUGACGUUAGCGGCGGACGGGUGAGUAACACGUGGAUAACCUACCUAUAAGACUGGGAUAACUUCGGGAAACCGGAGCUAAUACCGGAUAAUAUAUUGAACCGCAUGGUUCAAUAGUGAAAGACGGUUUUGCUGUCACUUAUAGAUGGAUCCGCGCCGCAUUAGCUAGUUGGUAAGGUAACGGCUUACCAAGGCAACGAUGCGUAGCCGACCUGAGGGGGUGAUCGGCCACACUGGAACUGAGACACGGUCCAGACUCCUACGGGAGGCAGCAGUAGGGAAUCUUCCGCAGUGGGCGAAAGCAUGACGGAGCAACGCCGCGUGAGUGAUGAAGGUCUUCGGAUCGUAAAACUCUGUUAUUAGGGAAGAACAAAUGUGUAAGUAACUAUGCACGUCUUGACGGUACCUAAUCAGAAAGCCACGGCUAACUACGUG
rnacentral:rRNA from 1 species